UACGGGGGGGGCAAGCGUUGUUCGGAAUUACUGGGCGUAAAGGGCGCGUAGGCGGUCUGCUAAGUGUGUGGUGAAAGCUCGGGGCUCAACCCCGAGUCGGCCGUGCGAACUGGUGGACUGGAGCAUGUCAGAGGCAGGCGGAAUUGACGGUGUAGCGGUGAAAUGCAUAGAUAUCGGCAAGAACACCGAUAGCGAAGGCAGCUUACUAAGCUGUAACUGACGCUGAGGCACGAAAGUGUGGGGAUCAAACAGG
rnacentral:rRNA from 1 species